UUAAAUAAUUUAUAUUUUCACUCAGACUACAAUCUUCAGACAGAGUUCUAGGUGUCUUCGGCGGGCACGGGCCCGGGGGCAGAAGCCCCCCGGCGGCCAUACGGCGGGCCCGCCGAAGCAACAAGGUAUAAUAAACACGGGUGGGAGGUUGGACCCAGAGGGCCCUCACUCGGUAAUGAUCCUUCCGCAGGUUCACCUACGGAAA
rnacentral:misc_RNA from 1 species